GACGAACGCUGGCGGCGUGCUUAACACAUGCAAGUCGAACGGAAAGGCCCUGCUUUUGUGGGGUGCUCGAGUGGCGAACGGGUGAGUAGCACGUGAGUAACCUGCCCUUGACUUUGGGAUAACUUCAGGAAACUGGGGCUAAUACCGGAUAGGAGCUCCUGCUGCAUGGUGGGGGUUGGAAAGUUUCGGCGGUUGGGGAUGGACUCGCGGCUUAUCAGCUUGUUGGUGGGGUAGUGGCUUACCAAGGCUUUGACGGGCAGCCGGCCUGAGAGGGUGACCGGCCACAUUGGGACUGAGAUACGGCCCAGACUCCUACGGGAGGCAGCAGUGGGGAAUAUUGCACCAUGGGCGGAAGCCUGAUGCCGCAACGCCGCGUGCGGGAUGACGGCCUUCGGGUUGUAAACCGCUUUCGCCUGUGACGAAGCGUGAGUGACGGUAAUGGGUAAAGAAGCACCGGCUAACUACGUG
rnacentral:rRNA from 1 species